rnacentral:rRNA from 1 species
UUCGUGCGAGAGACAGCGGCAGAGCGUUGGAGCUGCGGUUCUAUUGGGAUCAAUAGGGGCUGCCGGGGGAAGCCGUAUCCGAACACGAGAGGUGAAAUUCAUUGACUGUUCGGAGACGAACAUGUGCGAAGGCAGCUUCCAAGUAUGCCUUCAUUAAUCAAGAACCAAAGCGUGGAGAUCGAAGAUGAUCAGAUACCAUCGUAGUCCACGCUGUAAACGAUGGCGCCCAUGAGCUGGGCCUUUCGAUACUCCCCAGAGCACUCUUUCUUGACGGGAAACCUUUGAGGUUAUGGCCUCAUGGGGGAGUACGUUCGCAAGGCUGAAACU